CCUACGGGAGGCAGCAGUGGGGAAUAUUGCACAAUGGGGGGAACCCUGAUGCAGCGACGCCGCGUGAGUGAAGAAGUAUUUCGGUAUGUAAAGCUCUAUCAGCAGGGAAGAAAAUGACGGUACCUGACUAAGAAGCCCCGGCUAACUACGUGCCAGCAGCCGCGGUAAUACGUAGGGGGCAAGCGUUAUCCGGAUUUACUGGGUGUAAAGGGAGCGCAGACGGCUGUGUACGUCUGGAGUGAAAGGCGGGGGCCCAACCCCCGGACUGCUCUGGAAACUGGAAAGCUGGAGUGCAGGAGAGGUAAGCGGAAUGCCUAGUGUAGCGGUGAAAUGCGGAGAUAUUAGGAGGAACACCAGUGGCGAAGGCGGCUUACUGGACUGCAACUGACGUUGAGGCUCGAAAGCGUGGGGAGCAAACAGGAUUAGAUACCCUGGUAGUC
rnacentral:rRNA from 1 species